rnacentral:lncRNA from 1 species
UACGAUCUCUGGAGAGGCCCUUUAAGGUAGUCAUACUAUGAUCCUUGAUGCUCAAUGAGUUUGCCUUAGCUUCUGCAGACUCUUGAUCAGCUCAUUAGACACCAAAUCUAUUUGAAGCCUAUCUAUUACAUUUCAAGAUAUAGAUCAACCUAACAUCUUUGAUCUCUUUAUGUAUACAUUCAUUUACAGAAUGAUGAACAUUGAAAGCUUAGAUCAACCUAACAAUUUUGAUCUAUCACUGAGUCCUUGUACAUAUAUUCCUUGAAGGACUUCACAUAUAAUCAUGAACAUUUACUUUAAACAUCAAAUCAAGAUAGCCAUUCUUCUAACAAUC